rnacentral:lncRNA from 1 species
UCUGUGAGAGGGUAUUGCAUACAAAUCGAGUAAUCAAGGGAAAGCAGGUUUACCACCCAAUCUUAUAUUGCAUGUACGUUUUGAUCUAUUAUCAACAUUAUUGAACUCAUUUAAAAAAAAAAUACUUCUCUUUUUCUUUGUUUUUUUUCAGGGGAGAAAAUGUCUUCCUACCAAUUUUAGUAGCUUAAGCAUUACUAAUACUCGCUUUAAGAUUUUCCAUGUUUAAUAAACAGGGAUUUGAAGAACAAUUAUGAGUAAACCAAUGGUUAAGAUUGAUUGUGUUUGUGAAAUAAAGAAAUGUUCAAGAGAUUGUGGCUAAAGCUUAUGUCAUAGUAGAUGAACUUUAUAUGUACCAUCAGAAGGAGAACAAAAGGGAGG